CCGCUCCGAGCCCACUUUGGCCCACGAUCCCGACCAGGGCCGCCCGCCUAUCGCGCGCCGCCUCCCCCUCUUCCCUUCUUCCACCCCAUGCCGCCGGCCGCCGCCGUCUCGUAACCCAAACCGACCCAUGGCCGCCGCCAUCGCUGCCUCGCUUAUCCGCCGCACCACCUCGUCGCCGUACCGCCGCCUUCUCCUGCCCACGUUCUCCCACCUCCACCGCCCUGCCCCCCAACCUCCAUCUCCAUGGCUCCCAUCCCAAAAUCGCUUCCUCUCGUCCGACGCAACCGCGGACCCUGAUCGGAAGCUGCCUCCGCUUGACCCGAAGCAGCUAUGGCGCGAGCUCUCCACCGCCGAGCCUGCGACGGGCUCGUCGCGCCUCCCGAAGGCCACGUGGGACGACGUGGUGGCCCUCACCCGCCGCUUCGCCAAGGAUCCCGCCAUUGCCGACCAGGUCCUCGCGCUCUACAUCCCCUCCUCAGAGUUUCCCACGUACGCUCGGCACUUCCGCCACUUCAUGCCUGAGCGCCUCUCCCAAGAAUCCGCCGAGCGGCUCCUUUCUCUCCCGGGCGAGGACGCGCACGCCCUCCUCCUCCCAGCCUUCGCCGAGUACUGUCUCAACUAUCAUGCGGAUAAGCUGAGGCAGAACAAGUCCGUCAUGGCUGCGGCCGACCUCACGGCGCCGCACACCUGGUACCCGUUCGCCCGCGCCAUGCGCCGGCGGGUGGUGUACCAUUGCGGGCCCACCAACAGCGGCAAGACGCACAACGCACUCGCACGCUUCAGCGCCGCCAAGUCCGGUGUGUACUGCAGCCCGCUCCGGCUCCUUGCCAUGGAAGUGUUCGACAAGGUCAAUGCACUCGGUGUCUACUGCACCCUCCGCACUGGCCAGGAAGUAAAGGAAGUUCCCUUCUCCAACCAUGUUGCUUGCACUAUUGAGAUGCUGUCCACGGAGGAGCUCUACGAAGUCGCCGUGGUUGAUGAGAUACAGAUGAUGGGUGACUCUGUCAGGGGCUAUGCAUGGACACGUGCUGUUCUUGGGAUCAAGGCAGAUGAGAUACAUCUCUGUGGUGACCCUAGUGUGCUCAAGAUUGUUCGUAAGAUAUGUGCAGAUACUGGAGAUGAUUUGGAGGUGCAUCAGUAUGAGCGGUUCAAGCCACUUGUUGUCGAGGCGAAGUCGCUACUUGGAGACCUCAAGAAUGUUCGCUCUGGUGAUUGCAUUGUUGCCUUCUCACGCAGAGAGAUAUUUGAGGUGAAGCUGGCAAUUGAGAAGUUUACGAAGCACAAGUGUUGCGUCAUAUAUGGAGCCUUGCCACCGGAGACAAGGCGCCAGCAAGCAAAAUUGUUCAACGAACAGGAUAAUGAGUAUGAUGUGCUUGUAGCGAGUGAUGCGGUCGGUAUGGGUCUGAACCUUAACAUUAGGAGGGUUGUGUUCUAUAGCCUGUCCAAGUACAACGGGGACAGGAUGGUACCUGUUGCUGCUUCACAGGUAAAACAGAUAGCUGGGCGUGCUGGUCGGAGGGGAAGUGUUUAUCCAGAUGGACUCACAACCACUUUCUUGUUGGAUGAUUUGGAUUAUUUAAUUCAGUGCCUGCAACAGCCGUUUGAGGAGGCACAAAAAAUUGGUCUUUUUCCUUGCUUCGAACAAGUGGAAAUGUUUGCCAGUCAGUUCCCCAAUCUCACUUUCACUGACUUGUUGGAUAAGUUCCGUGACAAUUGCCGCAUCGACAAGACAUACUUCAUGUGCCAGCAGGAUGGUAUCAAGAAGGUUGCUAAUAUGCUCGAGAGGGUCCAGGGUCUCUCCCUCAAGGAUCGCUACAAUUUUUGUUUCGCACCAGUUAAUAUAAGGGAUCCGAAAGCCAUGUACCAUCUUCUGAGAUUUGCUACUCAUUACAGCCAGAUCCGUCGUGUUAGCAUUGCCAUGGGAAUGCCAAAGGGUUCGGCAAGGAAUGACACUGAACUGCUGGAUCUCGAGACGAAGCACCAGGUCCUGUCGAUGUAUUUGUGGCUGUCACACCAUUUUGAAGAAGAUAACUUUCCUCAUGUGCAGAAAGCUGAGGAAAUGGCAACGAACAUUGCUGAUUUGCUUGGCAAGUCACUUGCCAAGGCAUCGUGGAAGCCUGAAUCAAGACAACAAACAAAGCAGAGGCGAGAAGAAAAAGAGGAGAGUGACAGCAAUGCUGAACAGGUGUCAGAUGACGAUGCAAAGAAUGUUUCCAAAGUUGGUUAUGAAAGGACGAGGCCGCUUCCUAAAACAUUUCCAAGUUAAGUUAUACUAUGGAAUUUAUUUGGCUUCACUUUGGGUCAGAAGAAACAUGAGAGAACACUAUGCUUUAAUUCCAUACGACCGCUGGCAAGUGAGUUUGUGAACUCUAGGACAAGACAUGGUCAGCCCAGCCAUAAUUCUUCUUUGAAUCUUCUGGCAUGAUUGUUGGGUUGGCUAUAACCAAUUGAGUGCUAGAGAAGAAUCUGUUGAGCCAAGUUGCGACGCCUCUUCAACCCCCAAAUCUGGUGCUUACCUACAGCAUGUCACAACCAUUGCUAUUCUUCCAGUUUUGGCGCCAGAGGUGUGUCAUGACAUUUGCAUCAACUGGCGGCUAUUUUAUUGGCCCCAGAAGAGAUAGCUGCUGAUAAUGAUGUUGUGCAAUGCUAGAUUGCACACUGAAUGAGGAUCUUUAAGUUAUGAGAAACAAACUAGUUUUCCGUUGACAUGCUACACCAGCAUGCGGGUAAUAAGCAAAUGUGGAGAUUUACAAGGUAUUGGUUGCUCCUCUAAGAUGUCUUAGAUGAUUUAGUGUGUUUGUCAAACUUGACUGUAAUAUUUAGAGAGGGAUAGCAGAGAUGUAUUAUAUGCCACUUUCAGGAUGUUGGAGCUUUCUGGUGCCCUCCUCGGAUGUCAGAUGCUAAGUAGACAAAAUGUGUAACUUA